UCUGCCUAUAAAUAUGUAACUAUAUAAUGUAGCUAGGAAUGUAACAUAUUGUGAAUCGGCUUUAAAUAAACAUAUACUUAAGAUUGAUCACACUCCAUAUGUGCUUUGAGCUGAAAUAUUGGAGCGAAGCAAAUUAUGAUAGAAUUGCGUUGUUUUGUUGGUUUCUAAUCAUGUUAUGGAAGAUGAUUAUGAUAGAAAAGAUAAUACCUGACACUAAACAAAACUCAUCAAAAAAUAAGUGUUGGAAUCAAUCAAGAUUUCUGUGUUCGGUAAGCGCAGGGGCAGUUAUUUUUAAGAAAGUUUUUAGUAUACAAGGUGUUUGAUGAUAAGAAGAUUAAGAAUAUAAUUUGAAACUUCUCCCGUUUUGUUCAUCG
rnacentral:lncRNA from 1 species